rnacentral:rRNA from 1 species
CGUGUGGUUUAAUCGUUGCUACACGAAGAACCUUACCUGGGUUUGACAUAUAGGUUGUAGGGAACUGAAAAGGGACCGACCUUCGGGGAGCCUAUACAGGUGUUGCAUGGCUGUCGUCAGCUCGUGUCGUGAGAUGUUCGGUUAAGUCCGCUAACGAGCGCAACCCUCGUCGUAUGUUAUAUGUGUCAUACGAGACUGCCGGUAAAAGCCGGAGGAAGGUGAGGAUGAUGUCAAGUCAGCAUGACCUUUAUAUCCAGGGCUACACACACGCUACAAUGGUCUGUACAAUGGGUAGCCAAGCCGCGAGGCGGAGCCAAUCCUGAAAGCAAGGCCUCAGUUCAGAUUGCAGUCUGCAACUCGACUGCAUGAAGCCGGAGUUGCUAGUAACCGCAGGUCAGCAAUACUGCGGUGAAUACGUUCCCGGGUCUU